GUCUACGGCCAUGCCACCCUGAACAAGCCCAAUCCCAUCUGAUCUCGGAAGCUAAGCAGGGUCGGGCCUGGUGUUAGUACUUGGAUGAGAGACCACCUAGGAAGACCAGGUGCUAUAGGUG
rnacentral:rRNA from 1 species